rnacentral:rRNA from 1 species
GACUACCGGGGUAUCUAAUCCUGUUUGCUACCCACGCUUUCGCUCCUCAGCGUCAGUUACGGCCCAGAGCGCCGCCUUCGCCGCUGGUGUUCCUCCUGAUAUCUGCGCAUUUCACCGCUACACCAGGAAUUCCACGCUCCCCUACCGGACUCAAGCCACAGCAGUAUCGGGUGGCGUCUCUGGGUUGAGCCCAGAGUUUUCACACCCGACUUACCGAGCCGCCUACGAGCUCUUUACGCCCAAUAAAUCCGGACAACGCUUGCCCCCUACGUGUUACCGCGGCUGCUGGCACGUAGUUGGCCGGGGCUUCUUCUGUAGGUACCGUCAAUUUCGUCCCUACUGAAAGCGGUUUACAACCCGAAGGCCUUCAUCCCGCACGCGGCGUUGCUGCGUCAGGCUUUCGCCCAUUGCGCAAGAUUCCCCACUGCUGCCGCCCGUAGG